UACGUAGGGUGCAGGCGUUAAUCGGAAUUACUGGGCGUAAAGCGUGCGCAGGCGGUUUCUUAAGUCAGAUGUGAAAGCCCCGGGCUUAACCUGGGAACUGCGUUUGAAACUGGGAGACUUGAGUGUGGCAGAGGGGGGUAGAAUUCCACGUGUAGCAGUGAAAUGCGUAGAGAUGUGGAGGAACACCGAUGGCGAAGGCAGCCCCCUGGGUCAAGAUUGACGCUCAUGCACGAAAGCGUGGGGAGCAAACAGG
rnacentral:rRNA from 1 species